rnacentral:rRNA from 1 species
CAGCCGCCGCGGUAAUACGUAGGGGGCAAGCGUUAUCCGGGAUUACUGGGUGUAAAGGGAGCGUAGACGGUUAAACAAGUCUGAAGUGAAAUGCCGGGGCUCAACCCCGGAGCUGCUUUGGGAACUGUAGAACUGGAGUGUCGGAGGGGUAAGCGGAAUUCCCAGCGUAGCGGUGAAAUGCGUAGAUAUUGGGAGGAACACCAGCGGCGAAGGCGGCUUACUGGACGACAACUGACGUUGAGGCUCGAAGGCGUGGGUAGCAAACAGGAUUAGAUACCCCUGUAGUCCCUGUCUCUUAUAC